GUACACGUGGGCAUCUGACCUGUAGACCGCUGAUACACGAGAAAUCGUGCUAAUACCGGAUAAUACGACAUGUCGCAUGACGUAUCGUUGAAAGACGGCGCAACGUGUCGCUACAGGAUGGGCCGCGCGCAUUAGCUAGUGGUGAGGUAACGCUCACCAAGGCGACGAUGCGUCGCGACCUGAGAGGGUGAUCGCCACACUGGGACUGAGACACAGCCCAGAAUCCUACGGAGGCAGCCAGUAGGGAUCUUCCGCAUGGACGAAAGUCUGACGGAGCACGCCCGUGACGAAAGAAGGCCUCCGGUCGUAAGCUCUGUCGUUAGGGAGAACAGUACGUAGUAACUGCGUACUGUGACGUACCUACAGAAAGCCCGCUAACUCGUGCAGCAGCCCGUAAUAAGUAGUGGCAGCUUGUCCGAACAUUGGCGUACGCACCCCAGCGGUCCUUAU
rnacentral:rRNA from 1 species